rnacentral:rRNA from 1 species
CCUACGGGGGGCAGCAGUGGGGAAUAUUGGGCAAUGGGCGCAAGCCUGACCCAGCAACGCCGCGUGAAGGAAGAAGGCUUUCGGGUUGUACACUUCUUUUGUCAGGGACGAAGCAAGUGACGGUACCUGACGAAUAAGCCACGGCUAACUACGUGCCAGCAGCCGCGGUAAUAUGUAGGUGGCAAGCGUUAUCCGGAUUUACUGGGUGUAAAGGGCGUGUAGGCGGGGAAGCAAGUCAGAUGUGAAAACCACGGGCUCAACCUGUGGCCUGCAUUUGAAACUGUUUUUCUUGAGUGCUGGGGAGGCAAUCGGAAUUCCGUGUGUAGCGGUGAAAUGCGUAGAUAUACGGAGGAACACCAGUGGCGAAGGCGGAUUGCUGGACAGUAACUGACGCUGAGGCGCGAAAGCGUGGGGAGCAAACAGGAUUAGAUACCCGAGUAGUC